rnacentral:hammerhead_ribozyme from 1 species
AUUAAGCUGAGGAGUCCAGAAUAGGACGAAACACGUAUCCUAAGU